UACGUAGGGUGCAAGCGUUGUCCGGAAUUAUUGGGCGUAAAGAGCUCGUAGGCGGUCUGUUGCGUCGGCUGUGAAAACCCGGGGCUCAACUCCGGGCCUGCAGCCGAUACGGGCAGACUAGAGUUCGGCAGGGGAGACUGGAAUUCCUGGUGUAGCGGUGAAAUGCGCAGAUAUCGGGAGGAACACCGGUGGCGAAGGCGACGUCCUGGACCGGCAUUGACGCUGAGGCGCGAAAGCCAGGGGAGCAAACGGG
rnacentral:rRNA from 1 species